UAGAAAUUGUGUGAAUUUAAUUUGUGGAGAUGUGAUAUGAAAAGCAAGCUUAUAGGAUUUGAUUUUGUUUUCAUACAUUCAUUUUUCUUGAGUGAAACACUUAACCCAAACUUUGAGCGUUUUAUUUGUGAGUGACAUUCUUAGUGAGAUUUGGGGUUGAAGUUUUGAUUUGCAUAUACCUCUCCGGGUUGAGUGAGUUGUAUUGAUAUUGGCUAUUUCACACACUACACUUGAGAAUGCUAUGUACGGUUUUGUUAAUUUUUGAAUCAUGCUUGUGGUUUAUAUGAUGGUUAUUUGAUUCUUUAGAGUUAUAUACCUUACGCGAUUUAUUGAGACUAAUAUGUAAAGGCCUAACAUUCUUUUGAGUCUUUGUUUUGUUUUGUUU
rnacentral:lncRNA from 1 species